GGGCGGUUAGCUCAGCGGUAGAGCACUGUCUUCACACGGCAGGGGUCGCAGGUUCGAACCCUGCACCGCCCACCA
rnacentral:tRNA from 1 species